rnacentral:lncRNA from 1 species
UCAAAUCAAGUUUAAAUGAUAAGUAGUUAGUACAAAAUACUUCAAAAUCAUCCCAGAACUCGGUGUCACAAGUGCAUGUCCAUCUACUGAUAGGCAAAUAAAAUACAACACCCGUUCGAAAUACAAUGGACGGGAAGUAAAUUGAAUACAAUGGAAGGGACUAUACUAGCUGCAGGCCACCUCAAAUAAUGCAACUCACCUAGUCCCAGAAUCAUUCCGGCUGCUACGUCCAGUAGGCCACUAGAGUUACGCGUACCUAUGCAACAAAAAUGCACAGAAGUGUAGUAUGAGUACGUAAACCACGUGUGCUCAAUUAGUAUCCUGUCUAAUCUCGAAGAAGUAAAAACGAUAUGGUCAACUUCGAUAUUUACUAGUGGUCCAACAAUGAUAUCAAUAAUACAUUAAAUUGUGAAGUUCUACAAAUAUGAUUUUUUCCAAAUAGCAGAAAAACAUUAGACAAUUAUUCUUUUUAUAGGAAAUUUCCAAAAAUCCUUUUUCAUUAUUUUCCAAAUAUUCUCAAGCCAUGAACAGGCAAUAACAACUUUAAUAAGUUCAAGGAAAUAAUACCAGCAUGCGCAAAUAACCACUGUGGGACGUACGGCUCGAUCCAACAUAAAAGUAAAUUGUGCACUGCUGAGGGUCGAACGGCUUGAACCAUAGAUGCAUCUAUUAUCCCGCUCGCGAAUCAUCCAUGCGACACGGUCAAAUAUAAAUAAACAACACACCACUCGCGAAUCAUCCAUGCGACGCAUGUACACAUAGAAACAAGCAUUCAAACAGUCAAUCAAUACUUCACAAGCAAAAAAAAUAAUUACCCAAAGAAAUAGAAAUUCUCUUUAAUGGUCAAGAAAAUGAUGUUUAAUACUUUUGAAAUUCAUUUAUUGUUAUGAUGUGAUUUAAGCAAUUCAAGCAGUCAAUAAGUUUACAAAUUUUCCAAGUAUAACAUGCUUUUUGGAUCAUACACUACCCCAACUUAAAACAUAAUUGUAGCUACGCACGGACUCUCGUCACCUCGUGCGUACGUAGCCCCCAUAAAUAGGAGCACAUAACCAAUUAAUUCACCUAUUGGGACAAUUUCCUCUUACAAGGUUAGAAAGGAGACUCGGCUCGCUCCCCAGUUCCAUAACCGGCAUUCAACGCCCUUUCGAAUACUUAAAUCGAUGAAAAAAUGCUCCAAAAUCAAUGAUUUGACACGAAAAUCCGCUCUAAACGCCCACUCUCGGACCUAGGACUCAAAAUAUGAUAGAAUGAAGCAAAAACUCGAGUUACACGGCUAAAAUAAAGCCGCAGAUGUCGCAUUCCCUCGGAAAAGCGAAGAAGGCCUUCUCAAUGACGAACAAAGAGGGGUUGGAAAGGGUCGCAUUUGCAACAAAAAGUUCGCAAUUACGAACUGGGCAUCGCAAUUGCGACCAUACCAGAAGCAGCAAUAUUCCCAGAAACAAAAAUGAGCAUAACUUCCUCAUACGAUGUCCAAAUUCAAUGAUUCUUUCUUCUAUGACUCCGAAAUUUUGAUACGAAUCUAAUGGUUCAAUAAAAACUUAAUUUGGAGCUCAUUUGCUUAAUAUGAUACCCCUUUAUGUCCAAAGAAAUUACGUUGAAACGUCAAAUAAGUGCGCAAUACAAACCGAAACACACCUGAGGCCCCCGUGACCUCGUCCAAUCACGCCAACCAACUCCAUAACAUAAAAUGGACCUGCUUGAGGCCUCAAACCAUACCAAAUAAUGCUAAAAUCAUGAAUCAAUCUCCAAUUCAAGCUUUAUGAACUUUAGAAAUUCAAACUUCUAUUUUCGAUGCCGAAAUCUAUCAAAUCAUGUCUGAUUGACGUCAAAUUUUGCACACAAGUCAUAUUUGACAUUACGGACCUACUCCAACUUCUGAAAUCGAAAUCCGACCCCGAUAUAAAAAAGUCCACUUUCGGUCAAACUUCUCCAAAAAACCUUCAAUUUUUUAUCUUUAGACAAAUUGCUCCAAAAUGACGUACGGCCUCUACUUCCAAACUCGGAAUCCCAACCGGACAUCGAUAACAUUGAAAUGCACUUCUAGCCAAGCUUAUGAAAUUCCUUCCAAAAUGUUAGCUUCCACAAUAGACGUCAAAAUGCUCUCGGGUUAUCCAAAACCCAGACUGGGCAUACAUCCAAGUCUGAAAUCAUCAUACAAACCUGCUAAAACCUUCAGAUCCAGAUUUCGAUGUCGUUUACUCUAAAAUCCAAUCUUAGUUAAUUCUUUCAACUUUAAGCUUCCCAAAUGACAAUUCUCUUUCCAAAUUAACUCUGAACUUCCCGAAACUUAAUUCCAACCACGCAUACAAGUUAUGAUACCUAAAUUGAAGUUGUUCAUGGACUCAGACUGCUGAAUGACAUUCUAGAGCUCAUAAUGAUCGAUCGGGUCGUUAUAACAUCAUUUGUUAGAGUCUGGAUUCCAUCCAAAUGACUCUUAUUCUUCAUUUGUGCUAAGCAAUAAGCUGAGUUUGAAUCCCCCAGUUUCAACCAUUAAACUCUGGAUCUUUUCUUGUAUAUACUCUCUUUAAUAAUUAUCAAUUUCUCUAAUUCACAUUUCUAGGCUUUCUCCUUCUCAAUUAAUUCUAUAUCCGGUAAUCUAUAACUCAUUUCUUAGUGUACUGAAUGCAACUCCUUCCUAGCCUCCUUAAUCCUUUCAUCAACCCCUUUAUAGUGAUAUAUGUUUAUCCCUUUGAUUACCUCCUUUGUCUUUUUGAGAUUGUUCCUGACUGCCUGCAUCAUCCCUUUUGUACCUCUUUCUUUCCAACCUAGCUCAACUUGUUGUAUAAAUUGGGGAUGAUCAGCUAUGCAAUUGAAGAAUAUGAAUGGUUUGUUCUUCUUUCCCUGUACCUGAGUGAUCAUUAGUUUCAAUAGUGAAUGAUCAGACACUAAUGUCUCUAACACCUGCCCUUUCAAAUUUGGCAUUGUCAUCAUCCAGUUAGCAUUCACAAGCCCCCUAUCUAUCCUGCUAUAAGUAUGGUUGUUAGUCCAUGUGUAACUCCUUCCCACAUAUUGUAAUUCGUUCAUUCCUAGUGUCAGUCAUAUACUUCUUAAAAUCUUUUAUAUCCAUGUCUUGAAUCGUAGAUCCAUGUUGUCUAGCUUAUGCAUGUAAAAAAACAUUACAAUUCCCCAUAGCGAACCAAGGACCUUGUUGUAUACUAUGAAUCUGUCUCAGCUUUCUUCACAACUUCAACCUAUCUUUAAUGGUAUGCAAGCCAUAUAUUGCUGAGAAUCCAAAUGUGAUUGACUUUGAGACUAUUCUAAUUUGGCCAUGUAUCAGUUUUUCAUCAACUUCCACCGGUUCAAAUGUAUAGAUCCUAGGGUCCCACAUUACCCAUAUUCUACUUUUAUGACUCGUACUAGAGUUGGAUAUCCAUUUCCAUCCAAGUGCAAUCUUUUUAAACACCUCAUUUGUUUUGUGCUCUUAUACUCUAUGUUUAACCAAAUCUAUUAAUGCUUUAUUAUUUCAUUUUAUGAACUACGUUUAUUCAGUCUCCUAGCAUUCAAUGUUACCACACUCAUACAGGUAUGAAAUAAGGAUGGCAAUACAGUUCCUACACCCCUGAACUACUUAGUUGCACUGUGCUUGUACCUGGUUCAUCACACGUUUGGCCGUUUUUCAAACUUUGGAACCCAUUGCUUCCAGCUAGUUCCUGCUCUUCAUUUUGUUUAGCCUUAGCAACACUAGCUGCUAUCCAUCCCUCAUCAUUAUUUUAUGCAUCUUUCUUUUUCAGCUCCUAGCUUUGUCAUCUGAGCUGAUGCAGUUAUUUUCUAUUGCUCAGUCUCCUUCUUUUCAUUGGCACCAUCUCUAUCUGUUCUGAGCCAAACCUGCUUGCCUUUGAUCAUCUUCCUCUGUUGAAUCAUUCUUUGUGGUUGUGCAGUUUUAGUCUCAGUAUAAUCAUGUCCUAUUUUCAAGCACUUAGUACAGUAUUUUGGUUCCCAGUUAUAAGUAACUUCCUAUUGGAUUAGCCUCCCCUUAGGAUCUUGUAGUUUCACAAUCCUAGGUAGUGGUUUAGUGAUAUCCAUUUCAAUUAGCAUUCUUGCAUAAGAGAUCCUAAUUGAACAUGUAGUACAUUCAUCAGCAUACACAGGAUUCCCCAAUGUGCUACCUAUCUUGAUUAGUGCUUUCAUACUCUAACAAUUAAUAGGCAAGAUAGGGAAUCUCACCCAUAAGGGAAUAGUUUUCAGAACUUCAUCAUGCACAUUAAAAUGUUCUAACCAUGAUUCCAUGAUUGUAGGCUUAUUGUUCACUGUAUGAGGUCCAGAAUAUGACACCAAGUCCUUUUUCUCCAAGUUGCCAAACCUUAUCACAAAAUAACCUUCAUUAUGGUAAUAGAUAUGUGGUUUUACUGAGAACUUACUCACCGAGCUCAGGAAACUUUUCAUUGCUCCAAUAAUAGGUGUUUCCCCUAUCACAUACAGGACAAUCGCAGGUCUCCAUUUUUCAAUUUUUUGUUCCUCAUCAUCAAGUUCUAGUUUUGCUAUCUUCUCACCAUUUUGGACUACUGGAACUAUAAACUGUAAAUUCAUACAUUUCAUGGCCAAUUUAUUACCUACAACCACAUUUGCUCAUGACUGAUUCAUGUUUUUAUUCCUUGUCUCACCAUUAUUACUACUCUCAAUAGUAUCAGAACACGUUAACGUGCGUCGAGAGAGAAAUUUUACUGCAAAUGCUACUAGAUUGGUCUAAGUAUCACAUAAAACAAAUUCUACUAGAUUUUCACAAGCAUUAGAUUACUUGUGAAUGAAAAGUAAAGUUUGCUUAUUUCAAAAAUUGGCUGGUGAGACUAAGACAUUUCCAUGGGAUUUGCAGUUUAUAUGUUUUCUUGGGCCCUAUAUGGAGGAUGGCCAUUCAAAGGGACGGAGGCACUGAAUAGCAGCAGGUACUGUUAAUCUUUCGCUAAUGUUGCAUUUAUUUGUAAAUAGAGAACUCCGCUAGUUUUGUACAUCUGUUCUCAUUUGUCAUGGACUUAACAUUUUACACUGAUAGCCAAAUUCUUUAUUCUUCACAUUGUCAUGUAAUAAUAUGUCACACCUCCUUUUUACCACCCCGAAGGGGGAUAACGGAGUAUUUCAAAGUUAAGUGACAUUAUUCGAAAUGAGAUUUUAUUUAAUUUUAGAGUCGCCACUUGAAAUAUUUUAGUUGGUGUUCCAAGUCACCGGCCUAUUUGAAAUCCCAAAUCAAGGAAAUUUCGACUUUCCUAUUCGAAGUGCGCGAACCAGAAAUUCUAAGUAAGGAAUCUAUUAACCCAGGAGAAGGUGUUAGGCAUUCCCGAGUUCCGUGGUUCUAGCACGGUCGCUUCACAAUUUAUACUUGUCUUAAUUGUUUAACUACUCAUUUUAAGACCUAUGUGCAAUUAUUUGUUUACCGCUUUUAAAACCACUUGAUUAUUCGUAAUUAAAGAAUUGAGUUACGCGUACGUAUACUCUUUCCUUUGGCGCGUCAAAAAUCAUGCCGCGCGAAUGUGUCCAUAAUUAAUAACGCUUUAUUUAUUUAUUUAAGAGGAGUUUAGUUGAAGUUACGCAAACGCAUCUCUCGAGUCUUUUAAGAAUUGAUAUUACAAUUAUAUUAUGCGGACGUAUAUAUAAUCGCAAUACUAAACUAAUCGGACCUAAAGGAAACUACGACAGUCAUGAAUUAUUUGUUCCAAAUCUGAGCUUCAUUAUAAAAUCAUGACUUAAAGAAUUGUUGUAAGCAAAAAUAGAUGAAUCCUAACUUAUUAUAUUACUGAUGAAGCCCGAAAUUAGAGCAUGCUUCCACAAAUUGGAAUCCUUUAGCGUUAGAACUACAUAAUACAAGAUGGGACACAUAUAUAAAGCCAUUUUCACUAUCAUCAACAUGGAUCAUUUAUAGGGAAAUCAUGUUCCAAUGAUUGGCCUUGCUUUUAGGGGGGAAGAAUAUAGCGAAAUUUAUUAGAACACAGUGUUCUAUUUUAGAACAAGAAACAUGUCCAAAGUUUAGAUUAUUGUAUAUAGGAAAUUAAAGUUUUUGAUAAAAUUAUCUUUAAGGAACGUUGGGUGAAAAAGAUGCUGAAGAGGUGAACGCAAUGCAGAAUAAUAGGUGUUGCCAAUUUUUAUUUUUAUUUAGCAAUGUAGUACGUUGUGCUAGUAUUAAACAAAUAAUAGGCAACAGUAAAAUUCGUCCAAGCAAUAUUCCAAAAUGCCAACACUAAUAGAUCAAUAGAAAUUCUUCUACAACUAAUAAUGAAGAAAUGAACCGGAAAUUUCAAACCACACUAGCAUUCACCAUUUCACAAUCAGGCCUAAUAGAGCAUCAAACAAAACUACACUUAAACAGAGAAUAUUUUCAGUUUAACAUUCACGCCAAAAUGAGCGACAAACUAAAAUAAAUAAAACCAUAAUCAGAUUCAAUCGUGCAUCUAUGAAAUCAGUCAAGAAUAUGGCUUUAAUAAUUCAGAUUUUCCAUUCAUAGUUUUGAAGUAAAAAAACAGAUGAUUAUUUACGUACCUAAUUGCCGAAAAUUUAGAAAUGUAAGAUGAAUCUCGAACUUCUCUAAAUCGAACCAAGAAUGAAGCUGAAGUGAGUCAAAUGAAGGCCGAACACAGUGAAUGAUAUUCAAGCCAACAACAAAGAGAAGCAAACAGCAAGUUCCUCAGCAAACCAAAAGUUCUUAUCAAAAUACCAGAAGAAAUGGAAGCUCCUAGUUGAAAUUAUAGUUUUCCUUUCUAAUUUGGAGCGUUUUUUCUUUGUUCUUUUUUUCAGAUUUGGGAUUCAAGAGUAUUUAAUGUCUUUCAUAUGGUGAAGUAAAGAGGAAAGAGACACCAUGGGAGGGGAAAUCUGUUGUGUUUGUACGUGACUUUUGAAGAAGAAGAACGGAGCUCCAGUGUAAAGGCGCCGUUGUUUUCUCUUCUGAAAGGGAGCUCCUGAUAUUUUAGGUCUCAGAUGGAAGGAGAGUGUC